UACGGGAGUGGCAAGCGUUAUCCGGAAUUAUUGGGCGUAAAGCGUCCACAGGCGGUCUUGUAAGUCUGUUGUUAAAGCGUGGAGCUUAACUCCAUUUCAGCAAUGGAAACUGUAAGACUAGAGUGUGGUAGGGGCAGAGGGAAUUCCCGGUGUAGCGGUGAAAUGCGUAGAUAUCGGGAAGAACACCAGUGGCGAAGGCGCUCUGCUGGGCCAUAACUGACGCUCAUGGACGAAAGCCAGGGGAGCGAAAGGGAUUAGAUACCCCUGUAGUCCUGGCCGUAAACGAUGAACACUAGGUGUCGGGGGAAUCGACCCCCUCGGUGUCGUAGCCAACGCGUUAAGUGUUCCGCCUGGGGAGUACGCACGCAAGUGUGAAACUCAAAGGAAUUGACGGGGGCCCGCACAAGCGGUGGAGUAUGUGGUUUAAUUCGAUGCAGCGCGAAGAACCUUACCAGGGUUUGACAUCCUGCGAAUCUUUUGGAAACAGAAGAGUGCCUUCGGGAACGCAGUGACAGGUGGUGCAUGGCUGUCGUCAGCUCGUGUCGUGAGAUGUUGGGUUAAGUCCCGCAACGAGCGCAACCCACGUCGUUAGUUGCCAGCAUUUAGUUGGGCACUCUAGCGAGACCGCCGGUGAUAAACCGGAGGAAGGUGUGGAUGACGUCAAGUCAUCAUGCCCCUUACAUCCUGGGCUACACGCGUACUACAAUGCUACGGACAAAGGGCAGCAAACUCGCGAGAGCUAGCAAAUCCCAUAAACCGUGGCUCAGUUCAGAUCGUAGGCUGCAACUCGCCUACGUGAAGGAGGAAUCGCUAGUAAUCGCAGGUCAGCAUACUGCGGUGAAUACGUUCCCGGGCCU
rnacentral:rRNA from 1 species